GCCCGGAUGGCGGAAUUGGCAGACGCAGGGGGCUUAAACCCCCCGGCUCCUCAGGGGGCGUGCGGGUUCGAGCCCCGCUCCGGGCA
rnacentral:tRNA from 1 species